UACGGGGGGGGCAAGCGUUGUUCGGAAUUACUGGGCGUAAAGGGCUCGUAGGCGGCCAACUAAGUCAGACGUGAAAUCCCUCAGCUUAACUGGGGAACUGCGUCUGAUACUGGAUGGCUUGGAUUCGGGAGAGGAAUGCGGAAUUCCAGGUGUAGCGGUGAAAUGCGUAGAUAUCAGGAAGAACACCCGUGGCGAAGGCGGCUC
rnacentral:rRNA from 1 species